GACGAACGCUGGCGGCGUGCUUAACACAUGCAAGUCGAACGGAAAGGCCUCUUUCGGGGGGUACUCGAGUGGCGAACGGGUGAGUAACACGUGAGUAACCUGCCCUUGACUUUGGGAUAACUUCAGGAAACUGGGGCUAAUACCGGAUAGGAGCUCCUGCUGCAUGGUGGGGGUUGGAAAGUUUCGGCGGUUGGGGAUGGACUCGCGGCUUAUCAGCUUGUUGGUGGGGUAGUGGCUUACCAAGGCUUUGACGGGUAGCCGGCCUGAGAGGGUGACCGGCCACAUUGGGACUGAGAUACGGCCCAGACUCCUACGGGAGGCAACAGUGGGGAAUAUUGCACAAUGGGUGGAAGCCUGAUGCAGCAACGCCGUGUGCGGGAUGACGGCCUUCGGGUUGUAAACCGCUUUCGCUCAUGACGAAGCUUUGUGUGACGGUAGUGGGUAAAGAAGCACCGGCUAACUACGUG
rnacentral:rRNA from 1 species